AGUGACGAUAGCCUAGGAGAUACACCUGUACCCAUGCCGAACACAGAAGUUAAGCCCUAGAACGCCGGAAGUAGUUGGGGGU
rnacentral:rRNA from 1 species